rnacentral:rRNA from 1 species
UACAGGGGGGGCAAGCGUUGUUCGGAAUUACUGGGCGUAAAGGGUUCGUAGGUGGCCAACUUAGUCAGACGUGAAAUCCCUCAGCUUAACUGGGGAACUGCGUCUGAUACUGGAUGGCUUGAGUGCAGGAGAGGAACGCGGAAUUCCAGGUGUAGUGGUGAAAUGCGUAGAUAUCGGGAGGAACACCAGUGGCGAAGGCGGCUUCCUGGCCUGUUCUUGACGCUGAGGCGCGAAAGCUAGGGGAGCAAAAGGG